rnacentral:rRNA from 1 species
UACGGAGGGAGCUAGCGUUGUUCGGAAUUACUGGGCGUAAAGCGCACGUAGGCGGCUUUGUAAGUUAGAGGUGAAAGCCCGGGGCUCAACCCCGGAAUUGCCUUUAAGACUGCAUCGCUUGAAUCCGGGAGAGGUGAGUGGAAUUCCGAGUGUAGAGGUGAAAUUCGUAGAUAUUCGGAGGAACACCAGCGGCGAAGGCGGCUCACUGGACCGGCAUUGACGCUGAGGUGCGAAAGCGUGGGGAGCAAACAGG